CAGAUCUACCAACCGGCUCGGUGUGUGACAGGUAACCGUCUUUCCACCAAGCUGUUCCAGGCCUGGAGUGGCAGGCUGGAACUUCCAGAGUCUUGUAGACCUGAAGCAGUGUGAUGUGGUCCAGAUCUGACACCCCUAUUAGCUCAACCACAGUCUUCACAGCUGCAGUCGUCUGCCCCUGCUACACCGGCCACGACGCGUGAUAGAGAUCUGCCCCCCCCCCCCUUGAGGAUUCCCACAUGGAUACAGAGCUGCCAUGCACUUCACCACCACUGCCUCACCCAGAAGUACAUACACUGGGCCUAUCAGGACUGACAAAGCAGAGAUGGGUGGCUGGCAAGGGAAAGUAAAACAUGCACUCACACACAUUAUCCACAAUGCAAAUCAGUUGUAAUAACUUGUUUAUUUUAGGUAUGCUCCAUUUUAUUUGAGAAAAAUAUCUGCAAUGUCUUUGGUUUAUUAGAUAUUUCUCUGAAUACAAUGUGUGACCAGAAGGAAGUUAGCAGACCUGCAACCCUUGGACUGUGUGUAGGUUUUGUCAUCUUGUAACGGAAUUCCUCUUCAGAGGAGGAGUAGCAAGGAUCAGACCAAUGUGCAGCAUGGUAAGUGUCCAUAAUGAUAUAUUUAAUAAAUCAACUGAACAAAAUAACAAAAGUACAAACAACCGAAACAGUCCUGCAUGGUGAAACCACUAACACAGUAUACAACCACCCACAAAACACAAUAGAAAACAGGCUACCUAAAUAUGGCUCCCA